CCCGGGCCUUGUACACACCGCCCGUCACACCACGAAAGUCGGUAACACCCGAAGCCAGUGGCCCAACCGCAAGGAGGGAGCUGUCGAAGGUGGGAUCGGUGAUUGGGGUGAAGUCGUAACAAGGUACCC
rnacentral:rRNA from 1 species